AUUGAACGCUGGCGGUAUGCUUAACACAUGCAAGUCGAACGGCAGCACGGUCCGUAGUAAUACAGAUGGGUGGCGAGUGGCGGACGGGUGAGUAAUACGCAGGAAUCUGCCCUAUAGAGGGGGAUAACUCGAGGAAACUCGAGCUAAUACCGCAUAGUCUCUACGGAGUAAAGCUGGGGCAACCUGGCGCUAUAGGAGGAGCCUGCGUCUGAUUAGCUAGUUGGUGGGGUAAAGGCCUACCAAGGCGACGAUCAGUAGGUGGUCUGAGAGGAUGAUCACCCACACUGGGACUGAGACACGGCCCAGACUCCUACGGGAGGCAGCAGUGGGGAAUAUUGGACAAUGGGGGCAACCCUGAUUCAGCAAUACCGCGUGUGUGAGGAAGGCCUUAGGGUUGUAAAGCACUUUAGGCGGGGAAGAAGGUAUGUAUUUUAAGAGAUAACAUAUUUGACGGUACCCGCAGAAUAAGCACCGGCUAACUCUGUGCCAGCCGCCGCCGUAA
rnacentral:rRNA from 1 species